UGAGGAAUCUUCCACAAUGGGCGAAAGCCUGAUGGAGCAACGCCGCGUGAAGGAUGAAGGCCUUCGGGUUGUAAACUUCUUUUAUGAGUGAAGAAUAUGACGGUAACUCAUGAAUAAGCACCGGCUAACUACGUGCCAGCAGCCGCGGUCAUACGUAGGGUGCAAGCAUUAUCCGGAGUGACUGGGCGUAAAGAGUUGCGUAGGCGGUUUAGUAAGUGAAUAGUGAAACCUGGUGGCUCAACCAUACAGACUAUUAUUCAAACUGCUAAACUCGAGAGUGGUAGAGGUCACUGGAAUUUCUUGUGUAGGAGUGAAAUCCGUAGAUAUAAGAAGGAACACCGAUGGCGUAGGCAGGUGACUGGACCAUUUCUGACGCUAAGGCACGAAAGCGUGGGGAGCGAACCG
rnacentral:rRNA from 1 species